CCCUUAGAUGUUCUGGGCCGCACGCGUGCUACACUGAGUGGAUCAGCGGGUCAGGUUGCGCGAAAGCGUUUCCUAAUCUUUAAAUCCGCUCGUGAUGGGGAUUGACGGUUGCAAUUUUCUGUCAUGAACGAGGAAUACCUUGUAAGCGCGGGUCAUCAUCCCGCGCUGAAUACGUCCCUGCCCUUUGUACACACCGCCCGUCGCUCCUACCGAUUGAGUGGUCCGGUGGGGCUUUGGGAUCUGAGCGGAAAGAGCGUUUCGCUGUUUCUGCUCGGAAAACUCAGUCGAACCUUACCAUUUAGAGGAAGGAGAAGUCGUAACA
rnacentral:rRNA from 1 species